UACGAAGGGGGCUAGCGUUGCUCGGAAUCACUGGGCGUAAAGCGCACGUAGGCGGCUUUUUAAGUCAGGGGUGAAAUCCUGGAGCUCAACUCCAGAACUGCCUUUGAUACUGAGAAGCUUGAGUCCGGGAGAGGUGAGUGGAACUGCGAGUGUAGAGGUGAAAUUCGUAGAUAUUCGCAAGAACACCAGUGGCGAAGGCGGCUUACUGGUCCGGUUCUGACGCUGAGGCGCGAAAGCGUGGGGAGCAAACAGGG
rnacentral:rRNA from 1 species